UACGGAGGGCGCAAGCGUUGUCCGGAAUUAUUGGGCGUAAAGAGCUCGUAGGCGGUCUGUCGCGUCCGUUGUGAAAACUCGAGGCUCAACCUCGGGCUUGCAGUGGAUACGGGCAGACUAGAGUGCGGUAGGGGAGACUGGAAUUCCUGGUGUAGCGGUGGAAUGCGCAGAUAUCAGGAGGAACACCGAUGGCGAAGGCAGGUCUCUGGGCCGCAACUGACGCUGAGGAGCGAAAGCAUGGGGAGCGAACAGG
rnacentral:rRNA from 1 species